rnacentral:rRNA from 1 species
UACAGAGGGUGCAAGCGUUAAUCGGAAUUACUGGGCGUAAAGCGUGCGUAGACGGUCAUGUAAGUCGGGUGUGAAAGCCCCGGGCUCAACCUGGGAAUUGCAUUCGAGACUGCAUGGCUAGGAUGCGGAAGAGGGAAGCGGAAUUUCCGGUGUAGCGGUGAAAUGCGUAGAUAUCGGAAGGAGCACCAGUGGCGAAAGCGGCUUCCUGGUCCAGCAUCGACGUUCAGGCACGAAAGCGUGGGGAGCAAACAGG